AUGAUAUACAAGGGGUCCUGGGUCUGCACGAGAUCGGACAAUACCUGCUGCUGUGGCAGGCUGUGUGCCACACCAUCCUGUCAAACGAGCCGGAUCGCCUGCUCUGGAGGUGGACCACCAAUGGCAUCUACUCGGCGCGCUCGUGCUAUGCGGCCAGUUUUCAGGGAUCCACACGGUGCCAUUCUUGGAAGCUGGUAUGGAAGAGCUGGGCGCCUCCACGGGUAA
rnacentral:rRNA from 1 species